UACGGAGGGUGCAAGCGUUAAUCGGAAUUACUGGGCGUAAAGGGCGCGUAGGUGGCCUUCUUAGUCAGACGUGAAAUCCCUGGGCUUAACUCAGGAACUGCGUCUGAUACUGGAAGGCUCGAGUUCGGGAGAGGAAUGUGGAAUUCCAGGUGUAGCGGUGAAAUGCGUAGAUAUCUGGAGGAACACCGGUGGCGAAGGCGGCAUUCUGGACCGAAACUGACACUGAGGCGCGAAAGCCAGGG
rnacentral:rRNA from 1 species